rnacentral:lncRNA from 1 species
GCAGUGAAGCUGCUUUUGUAACUUAGGGUGUUCCGAUUUAUGAAUUUCAUUAAUCUACAUGUGUUUGUUGAGGGCUCCUGUGUUUUAAGUUGUGAGAUACAGUGGUAUGCAAGACAGGCACAGUCCUGCUCUUAUGGAGCUCAUAUUCCAGCUUGGGAGUAAAAAAAUCCAACAAAAAUUUUAUUGUAAUUUUGUUUAAGGCUGUGGAGGUAAAGAACAGGAGACAAACAGAGGUCUUGACUUAGUCUGGGGGUAAUGUAAGUCACUGAGGAAGUGAUGUGAAGUCUAAGGGGUGAGAUGGUACUACCUACGUGAGGGGUGGGGUGCUGAGGGGCCAGCAGGUACAGAGGCUUGGGGAUGAAGGGGAUGAUGGCAGCCUGGAUGGAAGACCAGGUGGCAGGAGCAGAGAGAGCAAAGGGGAGCUUGACAAGACUGGAGAGAAAGGCAGAAGCCAGGCCAAGUGGAGAUCUGUAGGUUGGAUUGAGAAUUUUGACCUUUAGCCCAAGAGCUGUGAAAUGGCGUAGUUCACUCCUAUUUUCAUGACAUUAUAGGCUUUUAGAUUGGAGCCAGAAUACAAAUGGCCUUGAAGGGAGGCCAGGGCAUUUUCAAUUUGAGAAGCUUCCAAGAUCAGGUGAGUGGAUGGUUGAGUCAGAAGAGGAUCCUUCAAGUUCUGAAAGUCUGGGACACAGUAGUAGGCAGUGGGGACCCACAAUGUGGGAAGGGGACUUCAUAGCAAGAUCAAUCUGUAAUGUUCAGAGUAGGUUGACUCACUUUGGGCAUGAGAAAUAGUGGGUAGCUAGGUGGGAUCUGUUGGCAUGGGUCAGAGCAGUGGUAAUGAGAGCUUGUGGUAUUGUAGAGGUGAAAUGGACAAGUCUUCCCUGUGAAUUGGUUUGCUCUUGGGAAGGUGGGGGAUGGUGAGGGAAAGAAAACUAGAUCCUAUCUUGGGUGAUAGAUUGGACAAUGAUACCUUUAACAGACACAGGGACACAGGAGCAGGUGUUAGACAUUUAAUUGCACACAUGCCGAGUUUAGGGUGCUCUCAGAGUACACACCUGGCAGAUGUUAAGUUUGGAGUCGUUGACCUAUGAGGGAGAUUGCCAGGGAGCUCUCUCUGAGAGUCCACAUGGAAAGCCCAGAGGAUUGGAGAAGAGCUACUUGUUGCAGGGAACAGGCAGUCCUGACAAUGGUUGUCUCAGAUGGUGUCACAGAUGAGUGAAGGGACUCCCCUGCUUAUUGUGGACAUUCCCUUUGAGGUGAUUCUAGGUGAUGUCAGUGCUGUUUCCUGGGUAGACAAUUAUGACUUUGGUCCUGAUGAUACCAUUAUAUUUUGUGGGCUUCGGGAUUUUGCAUUUUUAAAAAUGAAAGUAGGAGGAACUUAUGACUCUGGUCUUUUAAAAAAACUCAAUAGGCCGGGCACGGUGGCUCACACCUGUAAUCCCAGCACUUUGGGAGGCUGAGGCAGGCGGAUCAUGAGGUCAGGAGAUCAAGACCAUCCUGGCUAACACGGUGAAACCCCGUCUCCACUAAAAAUACAAAAAAUUAGCCGGGCGUGGUGGCGGGUGCCUGUCGUCCCAGCUACUCUGGAGGCUGAGGCGGGAGAAUGGCGUGAACCCGGGAGGCAGAGCUUGCAGUGAGCUGAGGUCGCACCACUGCACUCCAGCCUGGGCGACAGAGCGAGACUCCGUCUCAAAAAAAACCCAAAAAAACAAAAAAAACAAAAAAAA